rnacentral:rRNA from 1 species
UACAGAGGGUGCGAGCGUUGAUCGGAAUUACUGGGCGUAAAGCGUGCGUAGACGGCUAUCUAAGUCGGGUGUGAAAGCCCCGGGCUCAACCUGGGAACUGCAUCCGAAACUGCCUUGCUCGAGUAUGGGAGAGGGAAGUGGAAUUUCCGGUGUAGCGGUGAAAUGCGUAGAUAUCGGAAGGAACAUCAGUGGCGAAGGCGACUUCCUGGACCAAUACUGACGCUCAGGUGCGAAAGCGUGGGGAGCAAACAGG